rnacentral:lncRNA from 1 species
CACGGGACACCUGCAUCUGCCAACAAGACUGGAAGCAGAAAGGGACAGAGACGGCGAAGUUUGACGGUCUGGAAAGCAGAGACCAGCAGGGCUGACUGCUUGGGAGCACCAAAUAUCCGGACAGCGCCUCUCGGGAGGUCCGAGAAGAGAACCGCGAUCUGUUUCAGCACCGGGGCUCAGGACAGUUCCCAGCGGGCUCCGUUUCGUCUCCAGAACCCUGGACAGCUCCUCCAGACUUCGGUGAGAAACCUUGUGCCAAGCAUUUUACAUACAUCAUAUCAUGCCAUCUUCAACCCUAGGACAUGGGUGUUACUGUGCCCAUGUGACAUUUGGGGAACCCAAGGCCCUGAGAAAGGCAGAAAAAUAACCCACGCAGGGACUCUCAGCCCACAAGUGAAGCUGAGAACCGGGAAUGGAAAACAGGGAGGCAGCACAGAGGCAGGAAACUCAGGUGUCAUAGCUUGGCUCAGCUUGGAAUGCACUCCCUCCACCUCCAACCAGAGCUCCCCACAACUGACCCUGCCUUCUUCUGCAAGCUCCAUUUCAUCAAGGGAAACGAUCCUUAUUGCCUCACCAUUUCCCACGUGAAGUCUGUAUUGACAUUCUCAUAGACCUGGGAUAUUGUGUCUGCAGCACAUAGUCCAAUUAUUUUCAUGUUAUCUACUGACAGGUCUAUUUGUCUCCCUGUUACACUGUGAGCUCCGUGAGGGCAGAAACAAUGUUAGUAUUUUCACUGCUGUGUCCCCAGCGCCUGGUCCGGGGCCCGGCACACAGCAGGCAUAUAAUAAGCAUGUGUUGAAUCAAUAAAGGCAUCAAAGAAUAAACCAAUACAUCAAUCAAUAAAUGAAUGAAUGGCCUCAGCA